GAUGAACGCUGGCGGCGUGCCUAAUACAUGCAAGUCGAGCGAACGGACGAGGAGCUUGCUUCUCUGACGUUAGCGGCGGACGGGUGAGUAACACGUGGAUAACCUACCUAUAAGACUGGGAUAACUUCGGGAAACCGGAGCUAAUACCGGAUAAUAUUUUGAACCGCAUGGUUCAAAAGUGAAAGACGGUUUUGCUGUCACUUAUAGAUGGAUCCGCGCUGCAUUAGCUAGUUGGUAAGGUAACGGCUUACCAAGGCAACGAUGCGUAGCCGACCUGAGAGGGUGAUCGGCCACACUGGAACUGAGACACGGUCCAGACUCCUACGGGAGGCAGCAGUAGGGAAUCUUCCGCAAUGGGCGAAAGCCUGACGGAGCAACGCCGCGUGAGUGAUGAAGGUCUUCGGAUCGUAAAACUCUGUUAUUAGGGAAGAACAAAUGUGUAAGUAACUAUGCACGUCUUGACGGUACCUAAUCAGAAAGCCACGGCUAACUACGUG
rnacentral:rRNA from 1 species